rnacentral:SRP_RNA from 1 species
GCUGGGUGUGGUGGCAUGUGCCUGUAAUCCAAGUCACUGGGAGGCUGGGUUGGUGGAUCAAGUGAGCUGAGAGCUCUGGGCUGCAGCACACUAUGUCGAACGGGUGUCCCCGCUAAUUCGGUAUCGAUAUGGGUUCCUGGGGGAGCCGGGACCACCAGGUUGUCUAAGGAGGGGUUGAACCGCCCAGGUUGGAAACGAAGCAGGUCAAAUCCCCGUGCUGUCCAGUAGUGGGAUAAUACCUGUGGUAGAUGCUGCAGUGCAGCCUUGGCAAAACUUGAGACCUAAUCUUUU